GAUGAACGCUGGCGGCGUGCCUAAUACAUGCAAGUCGAGCGAACGGACGAGAAGCUUGCUUCUCUGAUGUUAGCGGCGGACGGGUGAGUAACACGUGGAUAACCUACCUAUAAGACUGGGAUAACUUCGGGAAGCCGGAGCUAAUACCGGAUGAUAUUUUGAACCGCAUGGUUCAAAAGUGAAAGACGGUCUUGCUGUCACUUAUAGAUGGAUCCGCGCUGCAUUAGCUAGUUGGUAAGGUAACGGCUUACCAAGGCAACGAUGCAUAGCCGACCUGAGAGGGUGAUCGGCCACACUGGAACUGAGACACGGUCCAGACUCCUAUGGGAGGCAGCAGUAGGGAAUCUUCCGCAAUGGGCGAAAGCCUGACGGAGCAACGGCGCGUGAGUAAUGAAGGUCUUCGGAUCGUAAAACUCUGUUAUUAGGGAAGAACAUAUGUGUAAGUAACUGUGCACAUCGUGACGGUACCUAAUCAGAAAGCCACGGCUAACUACGUG
rnacentral:rRNA from 1 species